rnacentral:rRNA from 1 species
UCGAGAAUCUUGGGCAAUGCGCGAAAGCGUGACCCAGCAAUGCCGCGUGCAUGAUGAAGGCCUUCGGGUUGUAAAAUGCUGUCACCCGGGACGAAAAAAAUGACGGUACCGGGGGAGGAAGCCACGGCUAACUACGUGCCAGCAGCCGCGGUAAUACGUAGGUGUCAAGCGUUGUUCGGAUUUAUUGGGCGUAAAGGGUCCGCAGGGGGUUGGACAAGUCUGAUGUGAAAUCCCAGAGCUCAACUCUGGAACUGCAUUGGACACUGUCUGACUAGGGUAUCGGAGGGGAGAUUGGAAUUCCAGGUGUAGCGAUAAAAUGCGUAGAUAUCUGGAAGAACACCGAAAGCGUAGGCAGAUCUCUGGACGAUUACUGACCCUCAAAGACGAGAGCAUGGGGAGCAAUCA